UCAGGAACUCUAGCAAAGGGUGAACUUAACUUUCAUUCUUCUCAAGAUUCUUGACAAAGUCUAGAAUUUGGAUGCCUUCAUCAAAUAAACCAAAAAGUAGAGGUGGUUGAAAGAGUUUCUCAAAAGACUUUCAGGAUAUAUAGUUUUUGCUACUCCUAAUGUUAGGCUGCAAUUAAAGGCAGUAGAAACUUCACACUUGCUUUCUCUACAGUUUUUCUUAAACUGAACCAUUGUUUAAGGUGUCACUGAAGGAAAAUGAAAAACAUAAAAACAUGUCAUUAAAAAAAAAUCCAUUAUUUACCACUGUUGCCUUUCACGUCUCUUAAGGAACAAACGUGACAGAACCGUGACAUCUGUUUAUGUCUUUUAUUUUUCAUGAUAGGAGAACAGCAGUGUCAUCCACAUCUGCUCAACAAAGCCAGCUGUAGCACACCAGCACUUUAGAAUUUAGAAGCAAUUUUUUUGUUUUUCCUGAAUAUGUUAUAUGUCCAAAACUUUGAGAUUGUCCUGCCUACUUCAUGGCACCUGUAAAGCUACUAUAAAGCAGUAAAAAAGCACUGGAUGUUCCCAUCUUUCUAUUCCUUUCGCUCCAUGGACAAUGAAAGUAGAUAUGGGAUUCCACACCAGCCUAGUCAGCUGUCUCUGUGAUCUGUUCAUAUUUGCUUGUAAUUCAAAGAGCUCUAAAACUGUUUGGAUUUUUUUCUGAAUUCAUAUAAAUGAAAUUGUCAUUACAAAAAAAAUCUCAGCAUCAGACUACACAACUGGUCUUCUGCAAGUAAGUGACUGAGUCAACACAACAUUCUCACGUAGCGUUCAGCUGUUAAAAGGAAACCAGUCCUGCUUUCACACCCCAAGCAAUGUAUAGUGCUCAUUACAUAAUAACUGAGGGAGUUCAGCACUUGCUUCAAGCACUUCUUGCAUGGGAAUGGGAUCUAGCAAGAGAAUCUGAGAAACAAAAUCUCCGAGACUGUCAAACUGCUACUUUCUUGGUCCUUACUCUAAAAGCAUUUGAGCUAUGAAUCUAUGACUGUGAAAGAUCUUUUCAAUAUAAAUAGGUGGAAUUUCCAUAUUAGUUUCAGGUUCCAGAAAAUUGUGCUUACACCUCCCUUCUGAAAAGCCAAAAACUGGUAAGAGUUAAAGAACUGUAUUCAACUUAAGUAGCUUCCCAUACAGAAGUGGAAAUGGAUCCAGAAAAAAGAAGCUUCCUCCCCAGUCAAUCAGCUCCUGUUGCCUCCUGUCUUUUCUGAAAAGGCAGCCAAUAUUCCAUGCAGAUGUCCCAGGUUGCUACAGCAGCUUUUUAAUCGAGUCACCCACAGAAUCUUCCCCUGAAAUAUUCUGCUUCUUAAGUCCAAAAUGACUAAAACUCUUCUAAGUAGACUGACUACCUAUGUGAAAACUGCUUCUCAUUUAACACUUUUCUAUGGCUAGCAUUUUAUAAAGCUAGUGUAAAUCAAUACAGAGCAGACCAAAAGGAAACCCCACAAUGGGUUCCACACUAUGUAUUAAAUUCCUUAAUUAGCACUUUUUUGUUUUUUCUUACUGACCGCAUAUUUCUCAAAAUGUGUACAUACAGUAAGAUAUUUUGCUAGAAGCUGCACAUAAAACAUUAUGUUAAACACUUAAAAGUUAGACCAAACCUCUUCAUGUGUUAUAGAGUCAUCUUCUUUUAUAUGAUAGCAGGCUUCUUUUUCCUACAAGUCCUGGCCUCAUUCACUAACAGUAGAUAUUAUUCACUGAAAAGCUAUUCAGUAUUUUGUUUCCUCCUAAUUGUUCAGCAUGAGAUGCUGUGCCUAUUCAAACACUGCUCUGAAGAUAGAAUUAUUAAUUUACUCAUGGGCUUUCUUAUAGUAUUCAUAACUAAAAUGCCUAAAUCUUCAUAAUGAAAAUACUUCCACAACGCUCCUGUGAAAUCAGAUGCCACAAUAAUCUCACCAUCCAACUCAAUCCUUUACAGAUCAGGAAUCCAUGCAAGGAAAGAUUAAGGUCAAAGACAUCUACUGAUUUUUAAUAGCCAACCUGAAAUGCUAAGACUUUAUCUUUUGGAGUAUUUAGCAUUAUAUUUAGUGCUGUUAUUAACUGAUAGAACUAGUAGAAUCUCUUAUUUUCAACAGAAAAGAAGUGUGAUUAUGAGUUCACAAAUGCUUCCUAGCAGCAAUACUGAAGUUCAGAAAAUUUUGCUUCAUUUCUGCUCCUGAAUGGCAGCACACAGUCCUGACCAAGAAAUCGGGAAGUCUCCAUCCAUUUAUUACCUUGCAGGGGAGCUGUUAGGUCACAGGUUGAACUGCUGAUUGAGCACCCAUUGAAGGGGUGUGGCUGGCCCAGGUUGCUCAGGAAAACUGUUUGCACCUGUGCUCCCCACGUGACCAGAAGGGGUAGAGCCAUGCGAGGCUCUUACAAGGGCCAGUGGGCUACUUCCUAAGAAGGAGUGUAGCACAGCCAGAGAGACUCUUUACUGGUUGGGGUAGCAUCAAAACAGAAGAAAGCACUCAAGAAACAGUGGGCAAAGGAAAUAUCUGGCAUGCGUAUGCUCCGGGAUCAAAAACAGAAGAUUGUUAGUGUGGAGCUAGAGGAAGAGGACAGAGAGUGUAACUAUGAAGCAAUUUCAGCAUGCCUUCCAAAUAUUAGAGAUACCCUCAUCCUAAGCUGUUUAUCUUCACAUCCUCAGAGACAACCUUAAACACAGAAGGGAAGGAACAGACAUUCAAAAAAGACAGGUUCAUCAUGCAAGAACAAUGAAUCAUCACGCAGCAGAACUGCAUCUGAUGAGAGUACAGCACUGGUUAUGUCAGCUUAACUGGGGAAGGGAAUGGGAAACCUGUCCAACAGCCAAACUUCUGACAUUUUAAAGCCUCUCUGGAGUAAAACAAACAACCUGGAAAAGUGGGUAUAAUGAGGAUCCACAAUCUGAAAAGUCUUUAGAAAUGCACCACAUCCAGUUCACUUUUGCUUAAGACGGAUGACUCUACUGGCCCCAAGAGAUACAGCACAACUUACAGACUGGUGUUGUUACAGAGUCAACAAACAAACUAGGUGAGGAACAGCUCGCCAAACCUAUGUUAUAGGAAACUUGGCUCUUUGGACCUCAAGUUUUCUAAAAUGCUUGUAAUACUGACAGUUUUACCAGGCUGCCUCUUCAAGUUUCUUAGUUGUAGUCUUCCACGCACUGAGUAAAAUAAAUAAAUAAAAUCUGCCUGGUUAUUUGUAGAACUAGUUCUUUUGACUAAUAUCUCACAACCACAUUUUUACGUAUGAUAAACAUGAAGGCAAUCAGUGUUGAUCCAGGGGGUCAAAAACAUCCAAAACCUCAUGCAAACAAAGUGGAUACAGAAGCUCAAGUGCUGGCCAUGGAACAAAGUCAAUUAAUUGAUGCAGACACACCAGACCUCUCUGUAAGGGCUUAUACAGACAGAUCACAGCACAUUGUGUUUAUGGCUGAUUAUUACAGUCAUGCCUAAGAACUAGGCUACUGACAGUAAUAAAGAAUUACAUCUCAUCUUUAACAGACCCAUAUAACUGUACCACUUCAGGAAAAAUCUCCUUUGACAUUUCACUGGAAGUGUUUAGUCUUCAAAAUCACACAAACACAGUGACAACACAGUGACAAUUAUUCAAAUUGUGGUACUAAAUGUCCCAAAUUUCUCAUUCCUUAGCAACAAAGAUAGCUUAACUGGAAGCUACGUACAUCAUCAAAGGGGUCUUACCACUUGCAUCUUUGGCUCACAAAACAGGACAAAUAUUUUUUGAGAGUUCCAAAAAGAAUUAGAGGAAGGAACAAUGUAAGAAACAAUGUUCUUUAAGGAGGCUGGAGGCACAAAUAAGUUAGCUAUUACCAAUUCAAGAUUUGCACUACCUUGGUAAUUUCUAGUAACAAUGCAGAACACAAAGCUUAAUUUACCUAUGCCAAACAGAGCUGCUCCGGUUGCCUCUCAUUCAAAGAACAGCUGGGAAAUUAUUCUCCUGUUUAAGUUACUCUAAUGUGAAACUUCACAGCAAACAGAAGCAUCUAAAUUUCUUGUUUUAAAGAGCAUAAACACUGACAGUGACAGAAAUCCUCCUUAGAAAGUACCUGCACAACAUGGAGAAUAUGAAUGCCACACCAUUCCUCCUUUUUUUUCUGAGAAUUUAGCUUGGUUAGUGUUCCCGUCAUCACCUCCUAUCUAGGGUUUGUCUUUCAGAAAGUAUUCUAGAAGUUACUAUAUUUUUUGAAAACUGUUUUAUAAACAUUUGAGUGAUUUUUCUUCAAAAUUCAUGCUCCACUUCCAAAUAAAUAGCUCAGUUGCCUCAUGACAGGAAAUGCUGAAUCUUUCCUUUACACCCUGUUGCCUAUUAAUUCAAUUUACAGUUGACCUUGAGUUCCGCAUGGACUUACAUUCUGAAAGGCUCAUCCAGAGUAACAUACCCUACUGCUUUCAGUAUCUAUUUGGAAAAUAAAUUAACCCUAUCAUUCACUGUGUGAAGAAUUAAGCCCAAAGCUCAAAGACUGAUGCCAGCUGUGAUCAAGAGGAAAGAAGAUACCACUAACAGAUUUUCCACUAUCAUACCAUAAAGACUAGACCGUCUCAAACAUUCAGGCUAUAACUGGAUACAAAUCUCAUUAAUGUAGUAUUCCUCUCACCCUUAGUAACUUGAGUUGUGUUUGCAAAUUUUAUUUUAAAUUAUUGAAACUGUUAUGGAUGCUAUUUCGCCUUUUUUUUUUCCUAUUAGCAUAUAUUUAAGGUCAAUACUAUGUUCAGAAUGAAGGAUACUUUAAAAAGAAAACAGUGUACACUCUGUGACUUUGGAGCCCUAGUAGUUCCAAGGUCUCCAAAUUGUUUUUAUAAGCUAGUUAACAUCCCAAGUGCAUUAGACGCAUAAAUUAAAUAGCAGCUAUCUGAAAAGUACCAACGCAUAGACUCCCAUUCAGCCACCUGAAAUCUUUUAACUACUAAAAAACAAAAAAACAAAAACCCUCCCCCUGCGAAAAAUAGCAAAAAACAACUGUCUUCCAGUAAGAAAGUUUGGGGUCCCUUCCAACCUAAGUCAUUCCACAACUCUAAGAAGCUUAAGGAAGAGGUUUAGUAGGGUGCUGGUAGUGUUGCUUAAUGAUUUUUAGGUCUUGAUUCUGUUUCUUUGGAAGUAAACAGCAUUCCAGUUUUUCUUGACAGUGUGUGUUUAUUAAAAAAAUGAACACCAUUUUAUAUUAGAAAUGCUUAGUACCAAUAAUGAUUUGGACUGUGACAAGAUGGGAACUACAUCGUGAAAAACAUAGAUGGAAGAAUCACACAAGUUCUAGAAUAAGGCUUGCUUUUGAGAGAAAUUUCUCAAGCAAGAAAAAAAAAUCACUUUAUUGAUUUUAUUAAUGUUUCAAUAUUAUGAUAUCAAGAAAAAAUGUUUUAAUGAGAUGCAUACAUUUUCCUGUAACUCAAGCACUGAGCUUUCUUGCAAGUCACUUCACACACAGAAUUUAGUUUGCUAGGAGAGUAAACUCACUUUUAUAAGCAAGUUAGUAUGAAUCAUUAGCCUUCACCUUCAUCACAUUCCUGAAGUAUGCACUAAAAUAAUGAGCUCUGUGAACUGGCUGAAGGCAAGCUGCAUUGCGUAAGAGAAACUCCGAGAAACUUCAGUGUUUAAAAAGAGAAAAAAUUUAAUAGUUCUCUGUAUCUGCGGGUUAAAAAAAACACAUUAACAUGCACACACAAGUGUAGAACAAAAUUUCCCCUCUAUUUCUUUCAGAAAAGUUAUCAUCAUGGGUUGCCCUCUUAUAAAUUCUUGGUAAAAAGCAGAUGGACAGGAGAGGAAAAAGGCGUGAGCAGGUAAGUCUAUUUUCGUUCAACAGUCGGCAAUAACCUUUUAAUGCCACUCUCUCAAGAAAACACAGGAACUAAAACAAACAUUGGAGAGGGCAAGAUGUAGUUUUAGAUAUCAUGUAGUUUGGGACACAUUACUUCCAUGCACACUACUAUUUUUGGGGGGUGGUCUUGGAAGUCCCACUAAUGACCUUUAGUUGCAUCUUUGUUCUCUGCAGUUUGAGGACACCAAUAUUCCGCUAUUGAUUCCCUUGAAAUUAGACCAAAGGAAACCAAAUAUAGGUGUACAGCAAGGAACACAACAACAGCUGUUUUUGAGAAGUUUACUCAGAAUGGUGGUGGUGAACAGAUUUUCCACCGCUGUCCAGGGAAAGCACCUGUAAACUCAGUAAGAGUUUACAGGCCACAAAGUCAGUAAGAGUUUGUGGCUGGAAAGCUGCAUGACAGAAAGGGACCUUGGUGUGCUUAUGGACAGUCGGCUGAAUAUGAGCCAGCAGUGUGCCCAGGUGGCCAAGAAG